rnacentral:lncRNA from 1 species
GAUGGCGGGAGGGGAAGAGCCUGGGAGGGGGCGGGUCAGUGUCUGCCAUGGGACACUGCCAGAGGCGGAGAUAUUGAGAAUAUUAAUAUUCAUUGAGGUCUAGGCUCAGGCUGAAGACGUAAUAUGAGACUGGUGGAUUCUUGUUCCGUAGGACUCUUGUUACCCCUGAAGGGGUGGGACUGUACGUGAACUAGCUGGAGAACUGAAUCACAAGUAGUACACUGCUGCAAAAACUGUUUGCAGGGUGUGCUGGAAGAGAAGACCCUGCUAUGCCAUUCUGGAUUGUGCUGGCUGAGCCAGUUCGGCUAGGUGAGACUGAACUGGACUCCAUGGGACUCAGUGCAGGAGCAAGGGUCUGCCCGCACACAAGACGCAGGAUCAGAGCCCUCAUCCUAAGAAGCUACAUGUACAGGUUUGUAUCCAC